rnacentral:rRNA from 1 species
AAUGCCGGAUGCUCCGACUCCUCGCAUGGGGUGUCGGGAAAGAUUUCAUCGGUAUGGGAUGGGGUCGCGUCCUAUCAGGUAGUCGGCGGGGUAACGGCCCACCGAGCCUACGACGGGUAGCCGGCCUGAGAGGGCGACCGGCCACAUUGGGACUGAGAUACGGCCCAGACUCCUACGGGAGGCAGCAGUGGGGAAUAUUGCACAAUGGGCGCAAGCCUGAUGCAGCGACGCCGCGUGCGGGAUGACGGCCUUCGGGUUGUAAACCGCUUUUGAUCGGGAGCAAGCCUUCGGGUGAGUGUACCUUUCGAAUAAGCACCGGCUAACUACGUGCCAGCAGCCGCGGUAAUACGUAGGGUGCAAGCGUUAUCCGGAAUUAUUGGGCGUAAAGGGCUCGUAGGCGGUUCGUCGCGUCCGGUGUGAAAGUCCAUCGCUUAACGGUGGAUCUGCGCCGGGUACGGGCGGGCUGGAGUGCGGUAGGGGAGACUGGAAUUCCCGGUGUAACGGUGGAAUGUGUAGAUAUCGGAAAAG